CACCUCUUCUAUGAAAUCAAUAUACGUAGUCCCCCUUCUAGUCGCUAGGUGGCACCACAGCUUUAAAGCAGAGCCAAAAAACUGUGGAAUAACUUACCAUGGACGGUAUAUUCGCCAUCUAUGGUCUUAACCUCAUUCCUCUUUUUGUGCUUUGGUGGCACAUGUUCAUUUUUAUUCGGCGUCGGUGUUUUCAGCUUUUUUCAGCGUUUUUGGAAGUUAAAUGGAGAAGUACAAGUGAGAUUUACGUUAUUCCUUAUCGGAUGAAGAAAGAACCUACCUACGACGAAAGAUUAAAUCUUUCCAUCCGCGAUUACAUAAUCGCUAGUGGCGUGGUUCCCAUCAACGAGAUUUUCUUACAAUUGGGAGACGAUUUCUUCAUCGUCCGGGUUCCGAUCGGAAUCCCCAGAACUCGAAAGACCCCCCAUCUUUCCCACUUAUACGACAGCAGUCGUAUGUAAGUGUUUCACAAUUGGAAGCAAUCCUUUUGUGAGGGGGUCGGCCAUACAUAUGGUUUUAUAUUUUUUCGACAUCGAAAAAAUAGAGUUUUCUGGCUCGUCCGGCUAUGGAUGAGGCGCCCGGGAUACUGGGACAUAAUGAACAAUUUUUUAUGGCUGUUGGAAUGCAUUUACUCCAUCGUAAGUAUAUUUUUUAGGCCCUUCAAUUAAUUCUGAUGUCAUUGUUGAGCCCCUUGAGACGGAUUUAAAGCAAAAUGGCCUUUAAGCUAUGGGGUCGAUAGUCCCAACACAAAGUUUGAUGUGUCAUGACAUUUUGGCAAGUCAGAUUAAUACCUUUUUGAAAUCCGGUGUGUCCGAAGAUUGUCUCAGUGACCUUUUGCGUUGAUAUCCUGUGCCGAAGAAUUGCCGCUCAAUAACUCUCCUAAAUUGAAUGUGCAGAUGAAAUCUGCCAUCAACAAAGGUGGAAAGAAAAGGGAUGAGAGACUGACUGCAACAAGGGGUGCUUUGAUGGUGGUUGGUAGGACGCUCUUGACCUUGCUUUUGAAACCGGUUAAGGAUGAGUAGUACUUACUUCUCAUCGAAAUGUUGAGUAAUGCAAUAUUUGUUUUAAGCAAAAUACACCAUUUAGGUUCAGUAUAUAGAAGUUCAGCCGCGUUAAGCCUUUCGCUGGUCUCAAAUGAAAUGCAGCCUUAUAUGAAGGAAGUGCUCGUUGAUGCUUCUUUGCACUCUUGUUUAUAUGGAGAAGAUUUGGCUGAUAGGCUCAAAUCAAUCAGAUUAGCUGCAGAUUAGUGGCCGAGUUAAAGUCAGGUGCAUCCGGAACAAGGCUUUUAUAGCAUACAAAUUUAAACUCGACCGUCCCACUUCGUUCCCGGAAGUUGCAAGGCUGAAGUGGGUGAAAGUCAUUGUACCCUCAAAAGAGGGAAUACAGGAAGGUUCGAGAGGAAAGGGGGUGGAGUUGUGUCCCCAGGAAAAAAUAAUCCGGAGGCAUCUAAUGAAGACUCGUUUACUGUUUUUUGGAGCGACAGUUUCUUCUAUGUUUUCCCCCCGUUUUGCUUGUUGCCACUUGUUUUACGAAAAAUCAAGGCUGAUUGAGCUACAGGGAUCGCAGUAAUCCCUUACGGGCACAGCCAGCAUUGACAAAUUACCUUCUUCUUUUGACAGGAGAGGUCACCCUUUGUGGAAAUCCCUUACCCUGGCUGCAGGGAUUUUGUCAGGCAAGCAUUCCAGAAGAUUUGCUGGAUAUUUUUCUAUCAUCUGUUCAGAGCGCUACCUUGAGGCAUUUAAUACCUGCAUGCAUUUAAACUUUGGUGGAGCUUUUGCGAAAGGAGGG